GUCCCCAUAGCUCAAACCACAGAGCAGGCGCGUCCUAAGCGCCAGGUUGCUGGUGAGAACCCGGCUGGGGACGCCA
rnacentral:tRNA from 1 species